rnacentral:lncRNA from 1 species
UUGGACACGGGGCCUUUUGUGAGGUCAUUAAGGUUGAUAAGGUCAUAAGGGUGGGGCCCUAAUCCCCCAGGACUGGUGUCCGUAUAAGAAGAGGAAGAGACACCAGAGAGUCUGUGUGUGUGCAGAGGAAAGGCAUGUGAGGACACUGGGAAAAGGUGGCUGUCUCUAAGCCAAGAAGAGCAGUCCCACCAGAAACCAACCCUGCUGUCACCUUGAUCUUGGACUUCGAGCCUCCAGAACUGCAAGAAAAUCAAUUUCUGUUGUUUAAGCCCCCAAGUCUGUGAUAUUUUGUUUUGGCAGCCAAGCAGACUAAUGCAAGAGCUAAGCUUUUUACUCCCAGUGUCUUUGUCCUUAGCUUCUUACUUCUGUUCCACGCUAUGUUUGUCAUUAACUAUCUGAGGACAGUGACAAUAUCCUUGUUUCCCGCACCUUAUAUUAUUUGUAGAGUAGAUCCUUAAAUAUGUCAUAGGCUCACAGCAGGUUUAAAAGUGGAAAAGUCUAAAAUGUCAAUGUCUCUUGCUUUAAAGCUGAACAGCUCAGAUCCAGUGAGUUCCUAAGACUUGGCCAAGAAGGCUCUGCAGUUAGUGAAGCACAGAGACUCGAAUCCAGGACCCACCUCCAGCCCCUGGGAUACAGAAGGAAAACUCAAACUCAGGGGCUCAAGGACAUGUCAAAGGCACAGACAUAUGUUCCUGCAUUGAUCAAAUCAGGCUGUGCAGGUGGUUCGCUGCUCUGUGCAUCUCCGUGCAUCUGUGUGGAGCUGUUCCACGAACUGGCCACCUCGUACUGGAAAAGACGAGCAGGACCAGCACAGCACUCGUAUCUAAAUGCAUAAACAGGGGGCCUGCUCUCCACGUGUAAACUGAUCUGGUGCAAUUCAGAUAGAAUAUAUUCUAGGACUGGUGCCUUCUUCAACUCAUGCAAAUAAAAGUGCAGCAUGGUCCAAAGUACUGGAGUCAUGAGAAGGUAAGGGGGAAACAGCAGGCUGAGGACAAUGCCUUGAAAGUUCCAUCUAAUUUGAAAACAUCAUAGAUACUCAAGCAGAACUACACCUGCAUUGCUUUCACCUAAUCCUCCUCUCUUCUAAGAUGUGAAAUUGUUUGUCCCCGAGGCAAUUCAUCCAUGUUAUUUCUCACUUAAAAUUGCUCCUAAACAUGUUUGGAUACUGAAAAAGUCAAA